rnacentral:tRNA from 1 species
GGUAUAGCUCAAGUGGUAGAGCACGUGCUUAGCAUGCACGAGGCCAUGGGUUCAAUUCCCACUACC